rnacentral:rRNA from 1 species
GAUGAACGCUAGCUACAGGCUUAACACAUGCAAGUCGAGGGGCAGCAUUGGGGUAGCAAUACUUCAGAUGGCGACCGGCGCACGGGUGAGUAACACGUAUCCAACCUGCCGCUUACUCGGGGAUAGCCUUUCGAAAGAAAGAUUAAUACCCCGAUGGUAUAAAGAGUUCGCAUGUUCUCUUUAUUAAAGAAUUUCGGUAAGCGAUGGGGAUGCGUUCCAUUAGAUAGUUGGCGGGGUAACGGCCCACCAAGUCUACGAUGGAUAGGGGUUCCUGAGAGGAAGGUUCCCCCCACAUUUGGGAACUGAGACACGGUCCAAAACUCCUACGGGGAGGCAGCAGUGAGGAAU